AGGGGGACCUUCGGGCCUCUUGCCAUCGGAUGUGCCCAGAUGGGAUUAGCUAGUAGGUGGGGUAACGGCUCACCUAGGCGACGAUCCCUAGCUGGUCUGAGAGGAUGACCAGCCACACUGGAACUGAGACACGGUCCAGACUCCUACGGGAGGCAGCAGUGGGGAAUAUUGCACAAUGGGCGCAAGCCUGAUGCAGCCAUGCCGCGUGUAUGAAGAAGGCCUUCGGGUUGUAAAGUACUUUCAGCGGGGAGGAAGGGAGUAAAGUUAAUACCUUUGCUCAUUGACGUUACCCGCAGAAGAAGCACCGGCUAACUCCGUGCCAGCAGCCGCGGUAAUACGGAGGGUGCAAGCGUUAAUCGGAAUUACUGGGCGUAAAGCGCACGCAGGCGGUUUGUUAAGUCAGAUGUG
rnacentral:rRNA from 1 species